rnacentral:rRNA from 1 species
GACGAACGCUGGCGGCGUGCUUAACACAUGCAAGUCGAACGGUGAAGCGCCUUCCUUUUUGGUGGGUGUGGAUGAGUGGCGAACGGGUGAGUAACACGUGAGUAACCUGCCCCCUUCUUCUGGAUAACCGCAUGAAAGUGUGGCUAAUACGGGAUAUUCUGGGUCUGUCGCAUGAUGGGUCUGGGAAAGAUAUUGUUUCGGUGGGGGAUGGGCUCGCGGCCUAUCAGCUUGUUGGUGGGGUGAUGGCCUACCAAGGCGGUGACGGGUAGCCGGCCUGAGAGGGUGGACGGUCACACUGGGACUGAGACACGGACCAGACUCCGACAGGAGGCAGCAGUGAGGAAUAUUGCACAGUGGGCGGAAGCCUGAUGCAGCGACGCGGCGGGAGGGAUGGAGGCCUUCGGGUUGUGAACCUCUUUCGCCAGUGAAGCAGGCCUGCCUAGUUUGUGGGUGGGUUGACGGUAGCUGGAGAAGAAGCGCCGGCUAACUACGUG